rnacentral:rRNA from 1 species
GAUCCUGGCUCAGGAUGAACGCUGGCGGCGUGCUUAACACAUGCAAGUCGAACGGGAAACCUUUUAUUGAAGCUUCGGCAGAUUUAACUGGUUUCUAGUGGCGGACGGGUGAGUAACGCGUGGGUAACCUGCCUUGUACAGGGGGAUAACAGUCAGAAAUGACUGCUAAUACCGCAUAAGCGCACAGGACCGCAUGGUCCGGUGUGAAAAACUCCGGUGGUAUAAGAUGGACCCGCGUUGGAUUAGCUAGUUGG